GUGCACAGUAUUGGCUUGAACUCUAUACCACUUCUGACACGAAAUGGGAAGUGAUUGUCUAUAAAGUUUUCGAAAGUAAUUCUGCUGAAAAAAAGAACCGAGUGGAGCAGAAAUUUCAAUAUAUGGAGAUAACGAGCUUAGUUUAUUUGGUCAUGUUUGACCAUUUCUUCGGGUCCCGUCAUUAGGACAUUUCACAGAAAUUCACCAAAAUAAACGUGUUGAAAGAAAUAUCCACCAUAUUCCUAAAGCUUAUACAAACAAGUAGCAAAAAGAACACGAAGGUUGGAAUUAUUUGAGCAUGCUUAUAUUGCGAAUGUUUACAAAUAUUUUAUAUUUUUUAUAACAAUUUAUACAAUUAGAAAU